rnacentral:misc_RNA from 1 species
UCACUACUUGCGUAGGCAGUCUGGCUAGAGUCCCCACCACUACGUGCUGGUAACUAACCACAGGGGUUGCGCUCGUUGCGCCACUUAAGGCAACACCUCACGGCACGAGCUGACGACAGCCAUGCAGCACCUUCCAUGGUGCCCCGAAGGGAAGGCCCGUUUCGGGACCGGUCACCACAGAUUUAGCCCGGGUAAGGUUCUUCGCGUUGCAUCGAAUUAAGCCACAUGCUCCACCGCUUGUGCGGGCCCCCGUCAAUUCCUUUGAGUUUCAUUCUUGCGAACGUACUCCCCAGGUGGUAUGCUUACUGCGUUAACUGCGUCACGGAGCCUUCCAGCCCCACAACUAGCAUACAUCGUUUACAGCGUGGACUAC